UAGCUGCCGGGCGCGCGCAGGAGCGUGAGGUCAAGGUGAACGCGCACGUCGGGCGCCCCGCCCCUUUCCUCCCUUCUCGGCUUCUAGAGCCUCUUUUGCGCAAGUACAGUUGGAGUCUCGCGAUAGCUAUGCCGCACAUUAAUGAAGACAGGAUUGGCUGACGUCCAGAAGAAAGAGGCGGGACAGUAAGCAAAUAUAGGCAGCAUCGCAGGGGCGGGGUUCUGCUUGCCGCCGGAAGCAAGAGGUAGUUAAAUCAUUUGUAUAUUUAGUAAGAAAGCAGAAAAGAAUUCUCCAGAACUUAUCUACUUAAUUACUUCAAGAAAGAAGUGACUUAUUAGCUCCCAACUGUGAAACACCUGUUCACCUCAGCAACAUUGAAUUCAUCCACCUGUUAGAUACUAGAAAUCUGAUGACAUUCUGCAAAUGAGAUCAACUGAUUGGACCUAAGUAGAUCACUGUCCAUACAGGUCGACUGCUUCUUCUUGAAAGUAUAAAGGAGAAGAAUAUAAUCAAGAACACAAAUCAGAGAUGAUAAAACAAAGUCCAGUGAGAAGGCUAUUAACAAAUUAUGUUUUACUGAUGGGGUCCAGAUUUCCAGGUGAUACAGGCAAGGAAAGCAGUGGAAGAUGGACCACAUGCCUGGGCCGCUGCAUCCGUGUGAGAAACCUGAAGGAAGCUCCUGGCUCAGUUCCUGACUUCGGAUUGGCUUAGUUCCAGCUGUUGCAGCCAUUUGGGGAAUGAACCAGCAGAUGAAGACCUUUCUCUCUGUCUCUCCCUCUCUCUGUCUGUAACUCUACCUCUCAAAUAAAUACAUUUUAAAAAAUAAAGGAGACACGCCAAGGGACCUGCAAUGCCAACAUCCCAUGUGGGUGCCGGUUCUUGUCCUAGCUGCUCCAUUUCUGAUCCAGUUCCCUGUUAAUGGCCUUGGAAAAGCAGCAGAACAUUGCCUAAGAAUUUGGGCCCCUGCCACCCAUGUGGGAGACCCAGAUGAAGCUCCUGGCUCCUGGAUUUGGUCUGGCCCACCCCUGGACAUUGAGGCCAUCUGGGGAUGAAACAACAGAUGGAAGAUCUCUCUCUCACUCUCUCUCUCUCUGUCUCACUCUCUCCC